UGUUUGCUGUGACGAAUCACAAGGACGGUAUCUGACAAGGGUUUGACCUCAAAAAGGCUCCCUUUAUUGAUUACACAUCCUUAACUGAUCAUAUGUUCUGAGCAAUCA